GAUGAAGAACGUAGCGAAAUGCGAUAAGUAGUGUGAAUUGCAGAAUUCAGUGAAUCAUCGAAUCUUUGAACGCACAUUGCGCCCCUUGGUAUUCCAUGGGGCAUGCCUGUUCGAGCGUCAUUUGUUCCUUCAAGCUUUGCUUGGUGUUGGGUGUUUGUCUCGCCUUUGCGUGUAGACUCGCCUUAAAAUAAUUGGCAGCCGGCGUAUUGAUUUCGGAGCGCAGUACAUCUCGCGCUUUGCACUCAUAACGACAGCGUCCAAAAGUACAUUUUACACUCUUGACCUCGGAUCAGGUAGGGAUACCCGCUGAACUUAAGCAUAUCAAUAAGCGGAGGA
rnacentral:misc_RNA from 1 species